CACAGACAUCCUUAGUUCUGAAGACUUUCAACGUUAUAUACAAUAUACAGCUUGUCUACAAUUCAAAAAAAUGGCUUCAUCGAAAUCGCUCAUGUUGGUGCUGGUGUUAGUUGCUCUGACGUUGACGUCAGCUGUUCGUCGCCGCAGAGCUUGUCGCUUGGACGGUGCCACCGGAAACUGCGUGGAGGUUGUGGGGUGGCGGGGAGCGCUAAAAGGAGUCGCACUCUGUCAGAUACAGGGCGGUAAAUGCAUGCACUUCGAAAGACGUGGACCCAUCAAGUGUGCGUGUAUCGAGGUGACACCGGACACCGUGAGACUGUAUUAGUGUCGUUGACGAUCAGGGGGCGUUUCAUCAGGAGUCCCAGGGGCAGUUUUAAAACCACUAGGUGAUCCAGGGGGGGGGGGGGGGGUGCCCCCUCUAAAGGUCUUAAGUUUACAUUUUAUUCCAAUAUAGGAGAAAGAAAUGAAUAAAACAAAAAUGCCCAAAAUGCACAGUUUCGGAAUAGAAAUUGUUAAUAUUUUCUUGGGGGAGUACCCCCGCCCAACGCUUUAAACCAAAUAGAUAUUCGUUCAGAGGAAGGGCCGCAAGUCCCUUAGUUACGUAACAUCCAAGAAAACAGUGCAAUACAAACAUGUUGAAAAACUAUUGUGUUCAAGAGGAUAUGUGUUUUCGAAUUUACUUGACUUUUUACAUGUUUAAAUAUGUCAGUGAAAAUGGCAACUGUUAAUUCAUGCACCUGAACACGGAAAUUCGAAUAUAACUUUCUAAAUAUUGUAUAUAUUCCAACAUUUAUUUAUCUGUGAUUCUGAUUGUAGUAUUAUUGUUUUUUUGUUCAUUUUACAUUUGUAGUUGAGAUUAUUUCAGUUUUACAUCCAACUAUUGGAAAUGAAAUUGCCGGUCCAUAAGCAUUAUUAUACAAUUGAUUCACGUUUUAUUACACAUUGCUUUUUAAUAUGUUCAGUAUUUAUUUUAUUAUGUUUGUCUUUAUGACAUAAAUAAAAUGUUAUGUUCA